AGAAACACUAUCACCUACGCAUACCUCUGCUUCUUUUCAUUAACCUGCUAUCCUCUUUACAAAUGGGAUUCUUCACCCACUCCCUUCUUCUAGAUUAGCAAUGCCCUGUUAAGUAAACGAACACGAAAUUCAAAGGGAAACAGGAGCAAUCAUCAUUACCAGCUGCCGUGUUAAGCAUUGCGAAAACGCUCACGAUUCACAGAAAAAUCCAUGCUGUUCUUUGAAGGCAUUCAAGCCUUAAUAGCUAGCUGGAUGAAUGUUUAACUUCUAGGCCAGGCACUACUCUGUCCCAACAAUAAGCCCUGUACAUUGGGAAAGGUGCCGAGACAUGAACUUUGGUCUUCUCUGCAAUCCAUCUGGAGCAUUCACUGACAACAUCGACUUUGAAGUUGCACUGACCUGGCCAGCCCUGCCACUUACCAGGUUGGGGUCUGCCCUCAGGGGAAGCUGUCUAACCAGAGCCUAACCCACUAGGGUUUUAUCAGAACCUAACUGACCUGAGGAAAAGAAAUACUCAACUCCAGCAAGCUCCAGCCUUCCAAAUGGAGGAGGAGAAAACCCAACUCCAGCCCACUUCAGCUAUCUUGUCCCACAUAAAGGGGAAGUGGAAGAAACCUGAGAAGCAGGCAUGAAGUUCACAGUCCAGAGACCUUGCCAUCGUAUCCCCUUUUGGAGACACAAGCCAGGAAGGAAGCUCUUCAGUGCAGCUGUGAAUAGAGAAAUGCUGGCUGAGGUUUUGGAGACACUGGGUGAUCAUUCCCAGUGAAAUUUUUAGAUCCCUGGGGACAUGAGCUGCUUUGUCUUUUCCAAGGUCAGGAUAAACAGAAUAACUUCAGGCUUCUCUACCCAGAAAGAACAUGUGGCAUAAAUAUCAACUGCAGAAUAAAUAUGAUUAAUCUGGUACAUGGACGAAGAUGUUUUCUAGGAGAUGCUUAUCCUGGGAUGAGAGCUUUCAUAAGCAUUGAUAUUUACAUGACUCUUACCGUGUGUCAGGAACUGUUCUAAUUGUUUUACCUAUGUCAAUUCAUUUGAUAGUCACAACCACUGAAAGGAGUAAGUACUCUUAUUACUUCCAUUUUACAGAUAGGGAAACUGAGGUAUAGAGAAGUCAAGUGACUUGCCCGAGGUUAUUAAACUACUUAAUGUCAACACCAGGA
ensembl:lncRNA CASC19 cancer susceptibility 19